AGCAGUGUAGCAUAGUGGUUAAGGAGCAGGGCUCAUAACCCUAAGGUAGCCAGUCCAAAUCCCCAUUGUGG